rnacentral:rRNA from 1 species
CCUACGGGAGGCAGCAGUGGGGAAUAUUGGACAAUGGGGGGAACCCUGAUCCAGCCAUGCCGCGUGUGUGAAGAAGGCCCUCGGGUUGUAAAGCACUUUCAGUGAGGAAGAACGCCUGGUGGUUAAUACCCAUCAGCAAAGACAUCACUCACAGAAGAAGCACCGGCUAACUCCGUGCCAGCAGCCGCGGUAAUACGGAGGGUGCGAGCGUUAAUCGGAAUUACUGGGCGUAAAGCGCGCGUAGGUGGCUUGAUAAGCCGGUUGUGAAAGCCCCGGGCUCAACCUGGGAACGGCAUCCGGAACUGUCAAGCUAGAGUGCAGGAGAGGAAGGUAGAAUUCCCGGUGUAGCGGUGAAAUGCGUAGAGAUCGGGAGGAAUACCAGUGGCGAAGGCGGCCUUCUGGACUGACACUGACACUGAGGUGCGAAAGCGUGGGUAGCAAACAGGAUUAGAUACCCGUGUAGUC